AAAGCAAGAACUAUGGCAUCUGACUUUGAUUGCAAUUUGAAAUUAGCCAACAUCCAUUUGGUGGAGUUGGAAUGGGACAAACAAAAUAUGGGACCCCAAACAUUUGGUGACUUUAAAUGGGACCAUGGGAUGCUUACCCAUUUCGAAGGUCUAUGAUGGAGGAUUUGUUUCUGGCUUCACAAUAGUAGAUGUAUCUGGUGGUUGUGUAUGGUAAAUUGCAGUGGCCAGUGAGAUGGGCAUGAUGCAAAGUGCCUUUGAUUGAAGAAACUGCAUGGCAGCACCAACAUUUUCUUCCAUCAGCUUUGCUACCUGUCGCUCCGUUCCAUCGUUCGACCACUUCUCCCACGCUGGUUGGUUUCUUCCAUCUUCGCCGGUUUCAUCCUAUAUAUCAGGAAGAGCUAACUUAGCCCAAGUGUGAAAAGGAAAGAAUGAAAUAUGUUAUAUUAUCCUCCAUAAAUAUCAUGUUUUCUUUAUUACCUCAACUGAAGAUAGUGGGAUAUCCGUUACAAGUGGUGCAACCGCACCAGCUCCGCCCAAUCUACUCAUGCUUAAAACCUGUUAAUGAUAAAAAAAUAUUGGUCAAUAAAAAGGGCCAAAAGCAAUAAUAAAAUUUCAACCAUCAUAACAUCCAUUUUUGUGGACACUCCAUUUCAGAAUGAGCGAGGAAUGCACUACUAAAUAAGCCAAUGAAUAUUCUAACUUCUAUUGCAUGAUUCACAUCUUUUUGUUAUAUUCAAUUUAUAAUUUGUCAUCCAUAGUGGAGGCAACAAUAUAUGUAAAUUUAUGAGCACACAAAACCGACCUAUGAAGUGAUUUUAAUAAAAUAUCAUAAUAAUUAUAUUUGUAAUUUUUACAAAUCAUUAAUUUAUAACAUGAAUGGAACAACAAAAUUGUUUACAAAUUUUUUUCAAAAAAGUAGAUCUUAUUAAUUUAACUAAUUAACACAGGUCGAAACUGUAAAAAUUUAUGAUAUAAUAAAGACUAUUAAUUAUCAAAUAAUAAUUGAAUAAACGGUUGGAUUAAGAGCCUGUUUAGAGUUUACUAUACAAGUCAAAUGGGGAUAGAUCCAUAAAAAACGGAAUCCGACCACCCAUGACCCAUCAGAAUCUCUCUUUCUUUCUCCCCAAUGAUUUAACUUCUAAUAAUGAUUAAGAAGAAAAAGAAGUCAAAAUUACUUUAGGAAACACAAGAAGCACCCCCCAAAAUAAAGUAGCACUAUAAUUUUCUCUUGGACUAUCAACACUCACAUUGAAACAACCAACCAUAAUCUAUUCUACCUUUUCCAUUUCCUUUUAAAUAAACUAUUACAACAAUAUUUAUAAAUUACAUAGAUAUAUAUAUACCCUUCCUCUAUCCCUUUUACAAGGUCCCACAACCACUAGCAAAAAUUAGAGCCCCCACUAGAAAAGUGCCAUCAUCAUUUCCCACUAACCCCACCAAAAAGAAAAAAAAAAUAGCAUAUCAAGUGAGCUUUGACAAUUUUCCUCCUCCACUUGAGCUUGGCAAGACAUCAAGGGCCUGCCUGCAUUUUUUUUAGGCAUUGACAUCUUAACCUGUUUUGAGAGGAGAAAAAAAAAAACAACAAAAAAAGCUGGAAAGGAAAGGCAAAAGCAAGAACUAUGGCAUCUGACUUUGAUUGCAAUUUGAAAUUAGCCAACAUCCAUUUGGUGGAGUUGGAAUGGGACAAACAAAAUAUGGGACCCCAAACAUUUGGUGACUUUAAAUGGGACCAUGGGAUGCUUACCCAUUUCGAAGGUCUAUGAUGGAGGAUUUGUUUCUGGCUUCACAAUAGUAGAUGUAUCUGGUGGUUGUGUAUGGUAAAUUGCAGUGGCCAGUGAGAUGGGCAUGAUGCAAAGUGCCUUUGAUUGAAGAAACUGCAUGGCAGCACCAACAUUUUCUUCCAUCAGCUUUGCUACCUGUCGCUCCGUUCCAUCGUUCG
rnacentral:lncRNA from 1 species